rnacentral:rRNA from 1 species
AGAUUGAACGCUGGCGGCAGGCCUAACACAUGCAAGUCGAACGGUAACAGGAAGCAGCUUGCUGCUUCGCUGACGAGUGGCGGACGGGUGAGUAAUGUCUGGGAAACUGCCUGAUGGAGGGGGAUAACUACUGGAAACGGUGGCUAAUACCGCAUAACGUCGCAAGACCAAAGAGGGGGACCUUCGGGCCUCUUGCCAUCAGAUGUGCCCAGAUGGGAUUAGCUUGUUGGUGAGGUAACGGCUCACCAAGGCGACGAUCCCUAGCUGGUCUGAGAGGAUGACCAGCCACACUGGAACUGAGACACGGUCCAGACUCCUACGGGAGGCAGCAGUGGGGAAUAUUGCACAAUGGGCGCAAGCCUGAUGCAGCCAUGCCGCGUGUAUGAAGAAGGCCUUCGGGUUGUAAAGUACUUUCAGCGGGGAGGAAGGUGUUGUGGUUAAUAACCGCAGCAAUUGACGUUACCCGCAGAAGAAGCACCGGCUAACUCCGUGCCAGCAGCCGCGGUAAUACGGAGGGUGCAAGCGUUAAUCG